UACGUAGGGGGCAAGCGUUGUCCGGAAUCAUUGGGCGUAAAGGGUGCGUAGGCGGGUCUUUAAGUCAGGGGUGAAAUCCUGGAGCUCAACUCCAGAACUGCCUUUGAUACUGAAGAUCUUGAGUUCGGGAGAGGUGAGUGGAACUGCGAGUGUAGAGGUGAAAUUCGUAGAUAUUCGCAAGAACACCAGUGGCGAAGGCGGCUCACUGGCCCGAUACUGACGCUGAGGCACGGAAAGCGUGGGGAGCAAACAGG
rnacentral:rRNA from 1 species